GACAGAGGGUGCAAACGUUGCUCGGAAUUACUGGGCGUAAAGCGCGUGUAGGCGGGCUUGCAAGUCAGAUGUGAAAUCCCUGGGCUCAACCCAGGAACUGCAUCCGAAACUACAAGCCUUGAGUGUCGGAGAGGAAAGUGGAAUUCCUGGUGUAGAGGUGAAAUUCGUAGAUAUCAGGAGGAACACCGGUGGCGAAGGCGGCUUUCUGGACGACAACUGACGCUGAGACGCGAAAGCGUGGGGAGCAAACAGG
rnacentral:rRNA from 1 species